rfam:Streptococcus pneumoniae 2070335 gspj15.contig.1, whole genome shotgun sequence.
AUUCAUGGUGACAUGGACACAUAGUAGUAAGCACACUAUGUGGCUUGGCAGAGCUAAAAACUGUU